CCUACGGGAGGCAGCAGUAAGGAAUAUUGGUCAAUGGACGCAAGUCUGAACCAGCCAUGCCGCGUGGAGGAUGAAGGUCCUCUGGAUUGUAAACUUCUUUUAUUUGGGAAGAAACCCAUGGUUCUACUGUGGUGACGUACCAGAGAAUAGACGUCCA
rnacentral:rRNA from 1 species